AUUGAACGCUGGCGGCAUGCCUUACACAUGCAAGUCGAACGGUAACAGGUCUUCGGAUGCUGACGAGUGGCGAACGGGUGAGUAAUACAUCGGAACGUGCCUAGUAGUGGGGGAUAACUACUCGAAAGAGUGGCUAAUACCGCAUGAGAUCUACGGAUGAAAGCAGGGGAUCGCAAGACCUUGUGCUACUAGAGCGGCCGAUGGCAGAUUAGGUAGUUGGUGGGAAAAAAGCUUACCAAGCCGACGAUCUGUAGCUGGUCUGAGAGGACGAUCAGCCACACUGGGACUGAGACACGGCCCAGACUCCUACGGGAGGCAGCAGUGGGGAAUUUUGGACAAUGGGCGCAAGCCUGAUCCAGCAAUGCCGCGUGCAGGAUGAAGGCCUUCGGGUUGUAAACUGCUUUUGUACGGAACGAAAAGCCCCGGGCUAAUACCCUGGGGUCAUGACGGUACCGUAAGAAUAAGCACCGGCUAACUACGUGCCAGCCGCCGCCGUAA
rnacentral:rRNA from 1 species